rnacentral:lncRNA from 1 species
AAAAUCCUUUUUCAACUUUCUCAUUAUCACAACCAAUAAUUAUACAUUUUUAAGACAAUGACCAUGUUUUCAUCUAUCUUGCCUAUCAUAUUAACUAUAUUGAUGUUCUUACCAGAAUUUCACAACCACACACAACAACAUGAAAGUAUAAUAAGUUCCAUGAGAACUUACAUUUCCCAAAAGCAACAAAAAUGGAUGGAGGUUUCUCCAAGGCCUUCAAUCCAUCAUCUUUUCCUUUCCCUUGCUAAAACCACCUUUAGCAACCUCUUUCUCUUCAAAUACAUACAAAAUAACAAUUUUUGCCAAUGUGUAAAAAUGUUAAAGUAACAUUUAAUAGCCAUAUUAAUAGCUCAACUAACAUAAUACUCAUAAAAGUGCAAUGGAGUGUUAAAAUGAUGUGAAAUCAUGAAAACUCACCUUAGUUUUCACUCUCCAACUCAUGAUGAUGAUGAUGAAGGCUCAAAUAGGACUAUUAAAUUUUCAUUUUGCAAGAAAAUGGUGGAAAAUCUAAGAAGAUUGGUGUGGGAGAUGGAAGAAGAAUACAAAAGAAAGUAUUUUUCUUCUUCUUGAUAUGGUUGAAUGGAAUGUCUAAAAUUUUGGGGGAUUAUUUUCCCUUUUUUUGUUUUAUUAUGAUUAAAAGUACAAAGGUGAUCAAAUGGUCAAACGGUAAAAGGAACAUAUGGUUAAAAGUAACUUUAAAAGCCAAAUCUAUUCAUUUUUAAAAUCCAAAAAUCAUCUCAUCAGCAUGCAUUAUCACAAACAUUAAUAUUUAAUUAUAUUUAAGUCUCAAAUUAUUACAAUGCCUUAGGAAGUAAAAUUAUCAUUUUAUCUCUUAACUCGUAUUUUUAUCCAAUUGAGCCCGAAACUUUAAAAAAGUUCCAAAAUACAUUUUAAUGACCUCUCAGUAGUAUAAAGAUAAUUAAAUUCAUUAAAAAAUGAAUUUUUCACCAAACAUACGUAUAAAAUUAUCAAAACAAUCUUAUACGGAAGACCCAAAAAUUUUGGGGGUUACAUCAAUUGAUCAGACUAUGAACCUUUUAGAUUACCUACUGAUAAAAUUGUCUUAUCACAUUACGAUCCGAUAACAUAAUGCAACUCGGUAUUAGUUAAACUUUUAUGUAAUCAAUGGGCAAAUAUUUGCUUUAUAUUUUACUUUUCUUGCAAAAACCCGUUAAGGAUAAAUACAAAUGAUGCUAAUGUGAAUAAUAAAAAUUUAUUAAUCAACUUAUUCAAAAUAUUACAAAUACUUAUGAUGAAUAAACUACACUUAGGGCACUAGAUCCUAACAAAUAAUCGUAUGCCCAUUUCAAUUUUUUUGUUUAGAAAGGAAAAACAAAGCUUGCGGAUUAUUUGACUUUAAUUACUCACAGUAAUUAAAAGUUGGUGCCGAACCCAAAAAUGCAUUUAAUGUGGUUCAUGAAGGAUGCACGACGAAUAGGACUUUGGUUGUUGUUCUUAUGAAAGCUAAAUCUUAUUUUCAAAAGUCCAAUCCCUAUAAUUCCUUUAUUAUAUAUUGAGUAUUUUGCAAGGGGUGGAGUGUCUGAUAUCUUCCAUCGCAAGACUUUAAGUACCACGACUAUCAUUGAGAUCCUCUAAGCUCGUGGAAAGAAGGUUUAAGGCCUUAGGCGACCCAUCUUUAAUGGUCAACCCAAAGAAGGCUAAAAUGGUGACUUUGGUUCUUGAUGAGAUUAAUAUUGUUAAAGACCAUCUUGGUAACUGGACCAUUAUGAACUCAAAGGGACAAAUUAUGGAUGAUCAAUGUGACAUCGUGAUGCCUCCAUGCUCAGAACAAAUCAUGCUAAAUCUUUGGGAGAAUGGCGAAGUUGAUAGAAAGUCUGCUAAAAUGAGUCCUUUCAAGAUUCGUAAGGCUACCAGGUUUAAGGCACAACAAGAAAGGCAAAGGCUUGAAAGGAUGUUGCAAGCCAUCCAACUUUCUUACCUAAAUCCUGAUGAUCGAAUCUCUGUUACCUUUUCUGAACACAUCUUUGCUUUUGCUCCGAUAAGCCCAAAGGAAGCUUGUAUCAAGAAGGUGUUGAAAAGAACUCCUAUGGAAGAUUAGAUUGUUGCUGAAGGCAAUUGGUUGGCUCAACAUCCUUUUUGCUUGCGCUAAUGUUGGCAUCUCCAUUUUAUUUAGUCUAUUU